GGGGAUUUAGCUCAGUGGUAGAGCGCUUGCCUUGCAAGCACAAGGCCCUGGGUUCAGUCCCCAGCUCCG
rnacentral:tRNA from 1 species